rnacentral:lncRNA from 1 species
GUACUUCUUAAUCUUCCUCACCUAUUUCUUUCCUCCCCUCACCUCCUCUCCUCUGAUAACCAUCUGUUUGUUCUCUGAGUCUACAACUCUUUUUGUUUUAUUUGUUCAUUAUUUUUUAGAUUCAACCCACAUAUAAGUAAAAUCAUGUAGUAUUUGUCUUUCUCUGACUUAUUUCCCUUAGCAUAAUACCCUCUAGAUCCAUCCAUGUUAUUAUAAACGGCAAGAUUUCAUUCUCUUUGUGACUGAAUAGUAGUCCAUCAUACAUACACACACAUACCACAUCUCUUUUAUUCAUUCAUUUAUUUUUCUCCAGGGGAUCUUCUUGACCCAGUGAUCAAACCUGGGUCUCCUGCACUGGCAGGCAAGUUCUUUACCACUGAGCCAACAGUGAAGCCCUGCAAUGAAUAUAGGGGCUCAACUUUCCUGCAUAACUAAGAAUUUGCAACUUGGGUAAUGACAAGAAACAUCUGCACUGAAAUCAGUUGUUUGGGAAAGAGUCUCUCCCAAAAUAACCAAAGAGCUUGUUAUUUGUUAGAAGAAUUAUAGAGUGGAGUUCCUUGGGAGUAACCUGGGACAUGAGAGUCUCAAAACCAGAAUCUACUAGUGAUCAGUUUGGAUCUACAGGUAAAUCCCAUAUAAUGAGUUGCUGGCACCAUUUUUCAAAUCUGAUACCUACCUUUGGCCAUUUUCAAUGCAAGAACUGA